rnacentral:lncRNA from 1 species
GUUAGGGUUCUACAAUUCAACACACAGAAGAAAAAGAACAUAACAAAAUUAAAAAAAAAAAAAAAAACCCUAAUUUCCUGAUUCAGUUGCAGCUUCUUCAUCUUGUUUAUCAAUUCUAGAAAAUUCGAAUAAAUUCCGAUCAUCAUCAUCAUCAUUUCACAGGAUUCACAGAAACCCUAGAACUACUUUCUACGGCAGCGAACUCUUCCUCGGCCUACCUCUCUUUCUCGGAACCGUAGCUCCGGCAGUCGGUGGCGUCGACGUCGGUUUCGGCGGAGCCACCGUCGUCUUCUGCAAAAUCGGCUUCGGCGGAGCUACCAGCGUCGUAAAGGCAGCAAUAGCCUCACCAGGCUCCGCCAACGGCACACUACUACCGUUCGGCAACGAAUCAGCCACCGGCCACGCUUUAACAUUCGUCGGAACAAUCGGCGGCAUCCAGUUAGGUAUCGUCAGAGAUUUCGCCGUCUCACUGUUCGCCAUCGCGAAUCCCAUCGGAAAAUAACUCCAGCAACAAUAAUACGCUUCCUUACCUGGAAUCGUCUGCGGUAACGACGCCGGAGGUAUCGCCACCGCCUGAAACGCUCGUUUACAAUUCGCACAUCUCAAACAACAUCCUUCGUAGAUUUUAGGAUAUUCAUACAAGUUAUAACAGUACGGACACGCCGUCCAUAUAUUCACCUUCGCCGUUGUUUCCGUCGCUGUUGCUGUUGCUGUUGCAGUUGUUUCCGUCUGAUUCGCCGCCGUUGUUCCGCCGUCCGCCGGAUUCCUUCUCACCGGAAUCUUAUCGCGCUGCAUGAUCGGCAUCUACUUUUUCAAACGCAAACAGCUUGCUAUCGUACGCCGAUUUACGCUCCGGGUCUGAAACAACCGCCCAGGCGUCCGCCACAAGUUUGAAAGCAGAAUCGGCGAACGGAAACUUGUUCUUAUCUGGAUGAAGAAGAAGAGCUAGUUUGCGGUACUGGCGUUUGAUCAAUUCGUCGUCGUUUUGCCGGCCGUCGAGUUGGAGAACGGCGUACCAGUUCGGUUGAUUGUGGAUCUGCUUCUCGGCGGCGAGGAGGACGUCGACGACGGCUAAGAUCUGAUCGGAACCGUCGAGUAAAGGCUCGGUUUCCUGAGCGAGAUGAGCGAAGUCUCGAGAGCCGUUGAGGUCUUUGGAUUGAAGGAGUUUUUCGGCGAUUCCGAGUAACCGCUCCGCCUCUGCUCUGCUUGUUGAUUGCAUAUCUCCGGUUAGGGUUUUGAAAGGAUGGUAGGUGGUGGGUGGAGGGUGAAUUUUGUAUUUUUAUUUGUUUUAUAUUUUGUUAUCUUUGUAUGCUUAUAAAUAAUAGAGUUGUUUGUAAAAGUUAUAAACAUUUUAAUAUUCGUCGUAUCUUAUUAUGUUUUAUGGUAAUGAAUUAAACAUAAAUGGAGAGUUUUAGUU